UACGGGGGGAGCAAGCGUUGUUCGGAUUUACUGGGCGUAAAGGGCGCGUAGGCGGCCACCGCAAGUCGACUGUGAAAUCUCCGGGCUUAACCCGGAAAGGUCAGCCGAUACUGCGGGGCUAGAGUGCAGAAGGGGCAACUGGAAUUCUCGGUGUAGCGGUGAAAUGCGUAGAUAUCGGGAGGAACACCAGUGGCGAAGGCGGCUACCUGGCCCACUCUUGACGCUGAGGCGCGAAAGCUAGGGGAGCAAACGGG
rnacentral:rRNA from 1 species